UACGUAGGGCGCGAGCGUUGUCCGGAAUUAUUGGGCGUAAAGAGCUCGUAGGCGGUCUGUUGCGUCCGCUGUGAAAGCCCGGGGCUUAACCCUGGGCUGGCAGUGGAUACGGACAGACUAGAGGUAGGUAGGGGAGAAUGGAAUUCCCGGUGUAGCGGUGAAAUGCGCAGAUAUCGGGAGGAACACCGGUGGCGAAGGCGGUUCUCUGGGCCUUACCUGACGCUGAGGAGCGAAAGCGUGGGGAGCGAACAGG
rnacentral:rRNA from 1 species